rnacentral:rRNA from 1 species
AACGAACGCUGGCGGCAUGCCUAACACAUGCAAGUCGAACGAGACCUUCGGGUCUAGUGGCGCACGGGUGCGUAACGCGUGGGAACCUGCCCUUAGGUUCGGAAUAACUCCCCGAAGGGGUGCUAAUACCGGAUAAUGUCUUCGGACCAAAGAUUUAUCGCCUUUGGAUGGGCCCGCGUUGGAUUAGCUAGUUGGUAGGGUAAAAGCCUACCAAGGCGACGAUCCAUAGCUGGUCUGAGAGGAUGAUCAGCCACACUGGGACUGAGACACGGCCCAGACUCCUACGGGAGGCAGCAGGGGGGAAUAUUGGACAAUGGGCGAAAGCCUGAUCCAGCAAUGCCGCGUGAGUGAUGAAGGCCUUAGGGUUGUAAAGCUCUUUUACCCGGGAUGAUAAUGACAGUACCGGGAGAAUAAGCUCCGGCUAACUCCGUG